rnacentral:rRNA from 1 species
UACGGAGGGUCCAAGCGUUAUCCGGAAUCAUUGGGUUUAAAGGGUCCGUAGGCGGUUUUGUAAGUCAGUGGUGAAAGCCCAUCGCUCAACGGUGGAACGGCCAUUGAUACUGCAAGACUUGAAUUAUUGGGAAGUAACUAGAAUAUGUAGUGUAGCGGUGAAAUGCUUAGAGAUUACAUGGAAUACCAAUUGCGAAGGCAGGUUACUACCAAUAUAUUGACGCUGAUGGACGAAAAGCGUGGGGAG